AAUAUGAUGAAACACAACACAGAAUUAUGAAUCAAUCCACUGGCAUUUACCUUUUCUAUUUCAAAAUUCUUCUUAUUUUUACUCUAUAUUUUCUAUUCUAUUUUACACAAUUUGUUUUAACAUAAUUUAUUCACUAAAUUUUUACAUUAAAAUAAGGAAGGAAUCAUCUUCUAAAGAUUUGCAGUAAAACAUUUUUCGAAAAAUAUUUUCCUAGGGUAAAAACAAAUGUUUUUAUGGAAAAUCCCUUAUCGGUUCUAUUCCUAUAAGACAUUUUCCAUUCUCUUCAUCCUCAUCGAAGUAAUCCGUUCUCCCUUCCUCUCUGCCGGUCAGCCUCUACUGCUCCUCCUCAUCUUUGUUCAUUCGUCUCACCUCCGAAUCUCUAUCUCGUCAUCUCUGUUGGUCGACUGUCGUUCUUACCAAAUCUACAAGAAACCCUAAAAUUUGGCUUUCCAGUCCUAUCAAGGUUGGUGCAGUUAGUUCUGAGGGCCAAUCAUUAAAGAUGAAAGUUGUAAACUUGUAUACCCUGGUAAUGUUGAAUACUACCAUGUCUUCAUUCAAGUGAGGGGCACAAGUACUUGACUCUGACAAAUGAUGGUAGCUUAGGAGUUCCAAAUAUUAAAAUUCCAAAGUUGUGUUUCGGGAAAGUAGGAGUUGAUAAUUCAAAGCUAAAUAAUGUUAGAAUUUGUAUAAGGCAAAGACCACUGCGAUAUACUUCCCUGGUUAGACGCUUGGAGAAGGCAUUCAGCAUAGGGACUGAAGGCAGGAUUGAUAUCACUAAAAUAAUAGAAAGAUCAAAAGCCCAGCCGACUCCAUGGAAGUUGGAUAAAGCAGGGCGACACCAAAGAAUGGGUAAGGGCAACAAAGAAGGGGCAUCCAAGCAAUUCAGAUGGACAAAACUGAUGGAACAUAUUUUUUUCGAAAUUCUGGCAAAGAAGGCUCAGAAAGGAAAUAAUAUUUCUAACACUUUCAAAGCAAUUUCUAUUAAUCGAGUUGUCGUAGCUAUUUUUAAAAGAUUUCACCGUAGCUAUUUUUAAAAGAUUCCAAGUCCAAUGCGAUGCGAAGCAUGUGGAAAAUCAUUUUUGAAGACUGUAAAAAAUUAGUGGCAGAUUAUAUGCACAAUUUGAAUUGAAAGUGGUUUUGGAUGGGAUGAUAACAUGAAAAUAAUUACUUGUGAUAGAGCAACAUAUGAUGUAACAGUGAUAGUAAUAUAUGUAUAUAUAUGUUAAGUAUAUUUCAAUUGUUUUUUA